GGCCGGUUAGCUCAGUGGUCUGAGCACGGUGCUGACAACAAUGACCAACACUGAGAUCACAGGUUCGACUCCUGCUUCGUCCC
rfam:Apaloderma vittatum contig60293, whole genome shotgun sequence.